GGCGGGCCGGCCCGAGUAUGACUUGUGAGUUUUGGGCGAUCUAGGUUUUCCUGGCAAGCAGCAGGGCGGCGACGGCGGCAGGACGACCCGCUUCUCCGGCUCGCCGAGAUGGAUGUGGAUUCGGAGGAGGCGGGGAGAAAGAGAGAAACCCACCACGGGAGCGAGAUGGCUGGGGGGAGCAGGAGAACGUCGAAGAAGAUCUCGGAGACGACCGAGUGGCCAUCAGUCAUUGAGUUGAUGGAUGCAUCGGCGAAGGUGUCACGAGAGAAGUAUAUGAAGCGACUGGUGGCCAAGCGGAACGCGGAGAACCCCGACGCGGCGCCGCUUGUGCUGGAAGAGCUCACGGAGCAGCAGCGGACCUCCCUGAAAGAAGAUGAUUUGGCCAGGGAGUUUGUGCUUGCCGAGGCGUACGUGGCCAGCAGGAUGGAGGAGUAUUCGAGAGUGGAGGAAUUGGAUCCGAACCAAGACAACGAUGACCGGGUAUACCAAGAGGAUCGAGAGCGCUGGGGGCGGAAAUGGGCCAAAGAGUUCGGCUCCUUCGAGGACAAGACUCGGAUCCCUGCCAUGUGCUUCACGGAUGAUCCCAUGUUCCACAUCACCCGUGACCUGCCUACUAUGCAGAUCUUUUCAGUCAAAGUCAAGGAAGUACAUGAGAAAUUACAAUGGGCGCUGGAUGUUUAUGGUAUCAUUGCUGUGCGGGACGACAUCGAUCACAACCGCAAUGUUAUCUUUGAGCGCACAAGGGACAACUGUCAAACCCUCGACGAGCAGGAUCCAUAUUUAGUACUAACAGGUCCUGCCCGUGCUCCUGUGAUGUUGUUUGAGCCUGUACGUUUGGAUGUCAUGCUGAAGGUUACGUGCACUGACAAAUCCGAGGACAAAGAUCUAAGCCUCCUUGUCAGACGCUACGAGUGCUGCGAAUCAAUCAAUUAUCAGGUGAGUCAUGGAGAGCUUGUUGCCAAUUCAUGCGUGGGCAGCAAGAGAUUUAAAAGCAAGCUCAGCACAUUGGAGCUGACGUGUGGCAUCGUAGUCUCAUCUGUUGAGGCCACGAUCAGUGUCCGUAUUGUUGAAGGGUCAUGGCCAGAUGGAUUCAGCGGGCGGUUCACUGCCUCCACUGCUUGUGUCAGUCAUAUGAAGGUGCUACUGUUAAAUUUUGGAGAUGGGAAUGUGCUUGUUUCUGCCGAUGGCACCAUUGAGCUCUCAAGACGCGUGGUUUCUGUUGAAAGCUUUGGGGAGCUGAGAAUUUGUGCAGCAGCAUGGCGAGGUAGCAAACAAGUUGACCGUGAGGUGUUAUUUCAACCUCUGAAAUCUGGUAGGAGCUCUCAAGUGCUCAACGUUGGAGUUUGUAAACUGGAAAUCACCGUUGCCUGGUCUCUCUUCCCGUUGAGCUAUCCCACUAGACGUAUUCCUUCAAGCAAGAAUGGGUGAGGCAAUCAAGGCCGGAUGGAGCCCUCCUAGAUACGCCCUUGCCGAUGAAGAGCCAAAUUUAGCUUGAUAUCAGGCGCGGGCCGAUCCUUUUCGUGGACUUCAAUUUCUUUUACAUCGUGUUGAGCUAUGACACCUGUACGUGUGAUUAGGUUGGUCCUCCUGGCCUAUCGACAAGCAGCGUGACACCCUUUGAUGCCGGACGAGGAGAAGACCCUCAUCGAGUAGGCAAUCCGGUUGACUCGGGGCGGGCUCAGAGGUGUCUACAUGGAUCUGGACCUCUAUUGAACUAGUGCCCAACAAUAGUUCUUUCUGCGUAGUUUUGCCCUCUGCCGGGUUGAUUCCCACAGAAGCUCCCCUGAUGAUGAUGAUGAUGAUGAGACUGGGAAAUACUGGGUUGGCCCAUCAGACAUGACUGUAUUAACAAGUCUGAAUGCACGGCUGCACGUACGUUCUGUAGCUUUUCCUCAUGUAAAACUACAUGAUCCUGAGUUUCAUAAUCCAUAUUGUGUAUAAAUUCAUCCAUCCCAUCAGGGGAUUAAGCGCUGUGAUGUCAUUAGACCUGUAGUGUAGCUAGUCGGUACGAAAAGAUGGUCAAGAGGCUCGGUGAAAUCGGCUCCAAAUUACUUGUGCUCAAAAUUUGGUUGGGAGUUUACUUUGUGC